rnacentral:rRNA from 1 species
GGAUGAACGCGGGCGGCGUGCCUAAUACAUGCAAGUCGAACGAGAUGCUUUUGUAGCAAUACGAGAGUAUUCUAGUGGCGAACGGGUGAGUAACGCGUUGGUGACCUACCCCAAAGUGUGGGAUAACAGUCCGAAAGGAUUGCUAAUACCGCAUGUGGUCUUCGGAUUUAGAAACCGAUGACUAAAGGAGCAAUUCGCUUUGGGAGGGACCUGCGUCCCAUCAGCUAGUUGGUGAGGUAAUGGCUCACCAAGGCGACGACGGGUAGGGGACCUGAGAGGGUGACCCCCCACAAUGGAACUGAAACACGGUCCAUACACCUACGGGUGGCAGCAGUAGGGAAUAUUGCUCAAUGGGCGAAAGCCUGAAGCAGCAACGCCGCGUGUGCGAUGAAGGCCUUCGGGUCGUAAAGCACUUUUCUGAGAGAUGAGAAAGGACAGUAUCUCAGGAAUAAGUCUCGGCUAACUACGUGCCAGCAGCCGCGGUAAAACGUAGGAGGCAAGCGUUAUCCGGAUUCACUGGGCGUAAAGCGCGUGCAGGCGGUGCGGUAAGUUGGGCGUGAAAUCUCCCGGCUCAACUGGGAGAGGUCGUCCAAUACUACCGUACUUGAGAGCAGAAGAGGAAAAUGGAAUUCCCGGUGUAGUGGUGAAAUGCGUAGAUAUCGGGAGGAACACCAGUGGCGAAGGCGAUUUUCUGGUCUGUUUCUGACGCUCAGACGCGACAGCUAGGGUAGUAAACGGGAUUAGAGACCCCGGUAAUCCUAGCCGUAAACGAUGUGAACUUGGCGUUGGUGGGUUAAACUCCAUCAGUGCCGCAGCAAACGCGAUAAGUUCACCGCCUGGGGACUACGGCCGCAAGGUUAAAACUCAAAG